GGACCCGCACAAGUAGUGGAGCAUGUGGUUUAAUUCGAAGAUACGCGCAGAACCUUACCAACACUUGACAUGUUCGUCGCGACUUUAAGAGAUUAAAGUUUUCGGUUCGGCCGGACGAAACACAGGUGCUGCAUGGCUGUCGUCAGCUCGUGUCGUGAGAUGUUGGUUAAGUCCCGCAACGAGCGCAACCCUCACUUUUAGUUGCCAUCAUUAAGUUGGGCACUCUAGCGAGACUGCCGGUGAUAAGCCGGAGGAAGGCGGGAUGACGUCAAGUCCUCAUGGCCCUUAUGGGCUGGGCUACACACGUGCUACAAUGGCAGUGACAGAGGGACGCUACCAGGUGACUGGAUGCAAA
rnacentral:rRNA from 1 species